GACGGAGGAGGCAAGCGUUAUCCGGAAUUAUUGGGCGUAAAGCGUUCGUAGGUGGUUUGACAAGUCUGGGGUUAAAGCCCGGAGCCCAACUCCUGUUAGGCCCUGGAAACUGCAAGACUUGAGUAAGGUAGGGGUGGCGGGAAUUCCCAGUGUAGCGGUGAAAUGCGUAGAGAUUGGGAAGAACACCGGCGGCGAAAGCGCGCAACUGGACCAGUACUGACACUGAGGGACGAAAGCUAGGGGAGCGAAAGGG
rnacentral:rRNA from 1 species